UCCGAAAAUGGAAUUGGUCUUGUUGAUGCCACCUUUAGGUCGCAGUUUCCGUUGAGAUCAAUAAAGUUUUCUGCAUCCUUCUCCAAGCUAGCUGAAAUAUCUUUAUCAAUACAAAAUUCUUCAUUCUUAUCUUCUGCCCCUACUUGUGUUCGAUCUUCAUUCUUUAUCUGUCUUAUACAUGGGAAGCCACAGUUUUUCCAACUCCAUGUCAUUUGGUCCAUGUACCUC
rnacentral:misc_RNA from 1 species